GUGUCGUAUAAAAGGGGAGAAGGUUAGCACUUCCUUUGACAAGGAUGAAAGAAGCCCUUGGGCCUGAUGGCACACAACACACUUAAGGCAUUGCCACCUACCUCAUGGCAUUUAACCAUCAUUUUGU
ensembl:snRNA